rnacentral:lncRNA from 1 species
CAGAAUAACGUGCACCAGAGGGCACUGCUCUGCUAAACUGGGAGGGAAUGUGCUUACAACAAGCCUUGGGGAAGCCAGCUAAUAUCUGAGCAGAAUCAAGAGCCCUGCCAUCAAUGGAAUCAAUGUUGGAAAUGCACUUGGGAAGAACAAUCUAUACAGGGGAAAUGGAAGAUGUGAAGGGAGACCAAGGCCUCUGGAAAGGAAGUUGAUAAUUUUGCAGGUGAAGAGUGGAGUCAGAAAUGAAAUGAGCACACACUGUGAAAUGGUGAUCCAGACCAGACUCACCAACGAGAGAAGAGGGCUACAGUGUCAGGGUAUCACCAAGACUGCUGAGAAGUCAAGGAUGGGCUUCAAGGUCUCUUCCAGUUCUAGAUCAAUUAUUUUGUGAUCUGCUCACCCAGCAACUCACUUUUGUUUAUCAAAUUGACAGAGUAGCAAGAAGAACUUUAAGGUACAGGACAUCAAAGUUUUGAAAAGAUUAUGCUUGGAGAGGAGGUAGCCAGAGGACAAUGUAAGGACACUGAAUAUUUAGAAAGAAUGAUGCCAAGAGAAAGAAAGAGAGAUGUUAAAAAUGUGAUGUUGAGGUUAUGAAAAUAACCACAGCUUUGCCCAGAGCUAACUCUGUAUUUGAUCA